rnacentral:rRNA from 1 species
UACAGAGGUCUCAAGCGUUGUUCGGAUUCAUUGGGCGUAAAGGGUGUGUAGGUGGCGCCGUAAGUCGGGUGUGAAAUUUCGGAGCUUAACUCCGAAACUGCAUUCGAUACUGCGGUGCUUGAGGACUGGAGAGGAGACUGGAAUUCAUGGUGUAGCAGUGAAAUGCGUAGAUAUCGUAAGGAAGACCAGUGGCGAGGGCGGGUCUCUAGACAGUUCCUGACGCUGAGGCACGAAGGUCAGGGGAGCAAACGGG